AGUGAACGCUGGCGGUAGGCCUAACACAUGCAAGUCGAACGGCAGCACAGUAAGAGCUUGCUCUUACGGGUGGCGAGUGGCGGACGGGUGAGGAAUACAUCGGAAUCUACUUUUUCGUGGGGGAUAACGUAGGGAAACUUACGCUAAUACCGCAUACGACCUACGGGUGAAAGCAGGGGAUCUUCGGACCUUGCGCGAUUGAAUGAGCCGAUGUCGGAUUAGCUAGUUGGCGGGGUAAAGGCCCACCAAGGCGACGAUCCGUAGCUGGUCUGAGAGGAUGAGCAGACACACGGGAAGGGAGACGAGGUGCAGAGUACUACGGGAGGAAGAAGGGGGGAAGAGGGGACAGGGGGGGGAAGCAUGAUCCAGCAAUAGAGAGGGGGUGAAGAAGGGAGAGGGGUGGGGAAGCACUGUUGUGGGGAAAGAAAAGCAGCAGGGAAAGAACAGGAGGGGCUGAGGGUACCCAAAGAAGAAGGAAAGGAGAACGGAGUG
rnacentral:rRNA from 1 species